rnacentral:rRNA from 1 species
GUGGGGAAUAUUGGACAAUGGGGGGAACCCUGAUCCAGCCAUGCCGCGUGUGUGAAGAAGGCCUUUUGGUUGUAAAGCACUUUAAGCGAGGAGGAGGCUACCGAGAUUAAUACUCUUGGAUAGUGGACGUUACUCGCAGAAUAAGCACCGGCUAACUCUGUGCCAGCAGCCGCGGUAAUACAGAGGGUGCAAGCGUUAAUCGGAUUUACUGGGCGUAAAGCGCGCGUAGGUGGCCAAUGAAGUCAAAUGUGAAAUCCCCGAGCUUAACUUGGGAAUUGCAGUCGAUACUGGUGGGCUAGAGUAUGGGAGAGGAUGGGAUAAUUCCAGGUGUGGCGGUGAAAUGCGUAGAGAUCUGGAGGAAUACCGAUGGCGAAGGCAGCCAUCUGGCCUAAUACUGACACUGAGGUGCCAAAGCAUGGGGAGCAAACAGGAUUAGAAACCCGAGUAGUCC